rnacentral:rRNA from 1 species
GACGAACGCUGGCGGCAGGCUUAACACAUGCAAGUCGAACGAGAUCUUCGGAUCUAGUGGCAGACGGGUGAGGAACACGUGGGAACAUUCCUUUCAGUUCGGAAUAACGUUGGGAAACUAACGCUAAUACCGGAUACGUCCUUCGGGAGAAAGAUUUAUCGCUGAAAGAUUGGCCCGCGUCUGAUUAGCUAGUUGGUGAGGUAACGGCUCACCAAGGCUACGAUCAGUAGCUGAUCUGAGAGGAUGAUCAGCCACAUUGGGACUGAGACACGGCCCAAACUCCUACGGGAGGCAGCAGUGGGGAAUAUUGGACAAUGGGCGCAAGCCUGAUCCAGCCAUGCCGCGUGAGUGAUGAAGGCCUUCGGGUUGUAAAGCUCUUUUAUCCGGGAAGAUAAUGACUGUACCGGAAGAAUAAGCCCCGGCAAACUUCGUGCCAGCCGCCGCCGUAAUAC